GGUCUGCUGUUGGCAGGGAGGCCUCACUGAGAUUGGACCUUGUACUGCCAGGUUCAUCCCUGAGUCCCCCCGAUGGCUCAUCUCUCAGGGACGAUUUGAAGAGGCAGAGGUGAUCAUCCGCAAGGCUGCCAAAGCCAAUGGGAUUGUUGUGCCUUCCACUAUCUUUGACCCGAGUGAGGUAAGCACCAUGUGGGUGUGGGUGAGAGGGACAGACUGACCGUGAUUUGAGAGCAGCAGCACCCAGCCCUGAAGUCCUCCCUGCUCACAGCAGCCCAGCCCUCUCUCCGCCCAAGCCCCAACUGCCCAUUCCCCCCAUCCCCCCACUCCCCACCCCCACACGGGCCCUGUUAACACUCAGAAGUUGAGGAAUAGGUUACAGCUGCCUCACUCUUUUCACCACGGGUUUCAGAUUUUCAUUUUUUACUUCCUUUCUAGGCAAUCAUAUAUUUUAACCAUUACUUCUAACAAUAAAUACUCUUUUUGAGUAAUAGGCCUUUCAUAAAGUCAGCAUUUGGGAAAAUCAUUGUUUCUUAUACCUAAGGUGGCUUGUCACCUUACAAAGCUAACCCCAAACGUAAAAUGUAAAGCACAAAUAGAUUUGGAGUUAGAAGUAUUUCAUCUCUUGAGUAUUAGCAAUUAUUCAUUAAAAAGAAAAAAAAAGUGUUUAGUCUCUUUCUGCCCUCCAAUGGUUAAUUAUUGCAUAUCAUCUUGGAGUCAGGUCCUUUUUGAUGUCCACCUCUUCCCCCUACCCCACCCCUCCCGUCAGCCCUGUUCUCACACACCAUGACUCAUUUCUUGGCUCUACCUAGUUCCUGGUUCUUGCUUUUCCUUCCCGUUCCCUCUCCUACCAUCUCUGUAGCAGGCAGUUUUCCUUGGUCUCGUGACUAUGAGAGGUUAGAAGCUGUAAAUGCUGCCUGGUGGGGUUCUGGAAUGUGUCUGUGGUCUGACUGGAAGAUGAGGGGUUGGGUGUGGGAACAGCCACAAGCAGCCCUGCUGAAGUGUGAGAGGCAGGCAUGGUUGGGCUUGGAAAAGAGGGAACAGUUAUU
rnacentral:lncRNA from 1 species